CAGUCCUGGACAGGAUGGAGUGCUGUGUCUUUCUCCUUCUAGUCAGACUAUGCCAGAGCUGACUGUCUUGGAACUGGGGUUAAUAAUGUGAAGAUCAGGCUCCAUUGACAUGAUUACUCUCUCCAUGGAUACAGAUUACCAGAGCCUUCCAUCCCUAGGGCAUCCUUCCAUCCCAGAUGCCCCUCUUCCAGAAUCUUUCUCCUGCUGAGUAAAAGACCAUUCCCAAGAAAAAAUUUUUAUGAUGUCCAAAUAAAUCAUAGUCCAAAGAAGGUCUAGAGCACUGUGGACAGAAUGCAGGCUCUUGAGCAUAUGAAGCAAGCACCGUACCACUGAGCUACACCCCAGCCCUGGAAGUUUAAGUGUACUGAAAAGUCAAUCCAAUAGAUAGUGGAAAUUAUUAGAGAGGUUAUUGAGGAAUUAAGGGAAGACAACUGAC
rnacentral:lncRNA from 1 species